AACGGUUAUCAAUAAUACAUAUGUUCUAAUAUAAAUGUUUUGUCAUUGGCAGAUUAAUAAAAGGCUUUUUGCGCUACAAUGUAUAUAAUUUCUUUCUAACGUUCGUAAUUAUAAAUGAUUGCCUUCAUACGAAAAUAAAACUUCACGUAUUAAUGAAAAAGCAUUCUGUAGAAGCUUUUAGUAGACAAAAACCAAUCGGAACUCUUGUCUGUAGUGUGCGGUGACACUAUAUAAUUUUGGGCGCAUUCCGAGGACAUAUUUUUAAGUGUUUUCGUUAGCAACUAUCUACGAUAGGACACGCGCAUACCAUGGUUGUAACGGGUGACGGGGAAUCAGGGUUCGAUUCCGGAGAGAGAACCUUAGAAACGGCUAGCACAUUAAAGAAAGGCAGCAGGCGUGAUAUUAUCCACUCCCAGAAACAGGGAGCUAGUAAUGAAAAAUAACAAUACGGACUCUUUUGUGAUGCCAUAAGUGGAAUGCGUACCGUCUAAAUCUUUAACAAGGAUUAAUUGGAGAGCAGGUCUGGUGCCAGCAGUAGCUAUAAUUCCAGUUUCAAUAGCGUAUAUUAAAAGUUGCUGCGGUUAAAACGCUCGUAGUUGCAUCUCUGUUCCAGAAGGGUGGUCCACUUAUCCAUUACUGUUUGUUCCGAACAGCCAGCCAGAUUCCUUUGACCAUCUUCACUGGUUGAGUUAGAUAAGCGGCAAGUUUAUUUUGAAAAGCUUAGAGUGUUUAAAGCAGCCGUGACGCCUGCAUGAUGAUGCAGGAAAUACUGGAAUAAGGACUCAGUCUUCCGAAUACGGAGUUAUGAUUAAGAGGUAUAGAUGGAGGUAUUCGCAUUAUCACGCUACAGAUGAAAUUUCUGCACCUUUGCAAAACGAAUUACUGCAAUUGCUAUUAACUAUAUGCCUCAGUCUUUGCUUAUUCAAGUACCAAUUUUAAUAAAAGAUUGAUA
rnacentral:ncRNA from 1 species